CGCCAAAUAACUACGAGUAAAAACUUAAAAUUUAAAAGACUUGACGGUACCUCACAACAGCCUAGAGGAGCCUGUCUAAUAACCGAUACUCCACGAUCAACCCAACCCCCCCUAGCCCAACAGUCUAUAUACCGCCGUCGCCAGCCUACCUCAUGAGAGAAACAAAGUAAGCCAAACAGUCAUACGCUAGCACGACAGGUCGAGGUGUAACUAAUGGGGAGGAUUAAGAUGGGCUACAUUUUCUAACACAGAAUAUACGAAUAAACUAUGAAACAAGAAACUGAAGGCGGAUUUAGCAGUAUAUUAAGAACAAAAUACAUAAUAGAAACCAACGCAAUGAGGUGCGUACACACCGCCCGUCAUCCCUGUCAACUAACCACUUAAAUCUUCAUAAACAAACAAAGCUUUUAAAGCAGGGCAAGUCGUAACAAGGUAAGUGUAC
rnacentral:rRNA from 1 species